rnacentral:rRNA from 1 species
UACAGAGGUCUCAAGCGUUGUUCGGAUUCAUUGGGCGUAAAGGGUGCGUAGGUGGCGCUGUAAGUCGGGUGUGAAAUUCCGGAGCUUAACUCCGAAACUGCAUUCGAUACUGCGGUGCUUGAGGACUGGAGAGGAGACUGGAAUUCAUGGUGUAGCAGUGAAAUGCGUAGAGAUCAUGAGGAAGACCAGUGGCGAAGGCGGGUCUCUGGACAGUUCCUGACACUGAGGCACGAAGGCCAGGGGAGCAAACGGG